GACAGAUUCAAAAAUUCCAGAUGCUCAGUCCGGAUAUGAAAAGGGCUAUACUGUUUCAUUGGCUGGACACUCCGGAGCAAAUCUUAUUUAUGAAUCG
rnacentral:ncRNA from 1 species